rnacentral:rRNA from 1 species
GAGGGGCCCCUCUCGGGUUACCGAAUUCAGACAAACUCCGAAUGCCAAUUAAUUUAACUUGGGAGUCAGAACAUGGGUGAUAAGGUCCGUGUUCGAAAGGGAAACAGCCCAGACCACCAGCUAAGGUCCCAAAAUAUAUGUUAAGUGGAAAAGGAUGUGGCGUUGCCCAGACAACUAGGAUGUUGGCUUAGAAGCAGCCAUCAUUUAAAGAGUGCGUAAUAGCUCACUAGUCGAGUGACACUGCGCCGAAAAUGUACCGGGGCUAAACAUAUUACCGAAGCUGUGGAUUGUCCUUUGGACAAUGGUAGGAGAGCGUUCUAAGGGCGUUGAAGCAUGAUCGCAAGGACAUGUGGAGCGCUUAGAAGUGAGAAUGCCGGUGUGAGUAGCGAAAGACGGGUGAGAAUCCCGUCCACCGAUUGACUAAGGUUUCCAGAGGAAGGCUCGUCCGCUCUGGGUUAGUCGGGUCCUAAGCUGAGGCCGACAGGCGUAGGCGAUGGAUAACAGGUUGAUAUUCCUGUACCACCUAUAAUCGUUUUAAUCGAUGGGGGGACGCAGUAGGAUAGGCGAAGCGUGCGAUUGGAUUGCACGUCUAAGCAGUAAGGCUGAGUAUUAGGCAAAUCCGGUACUCGUUAAGGCUGAGCUGUGAUGGGGAGAAGACAUUGUGUCUUCGAGUCGUUGAUUUCACACUGCCGAGAAAAGCCUCUAGAUAGAAAAUAGGUGCCCGUACCGCAAACCGACACAGGUAGUCAAGAUGAGAAUUCUAAGGUGAGCGAGCGAACUCUCGUUAAGGAACUCGGCAAAAUGACCCCGUAACUUCGGGAGAAGGGGUGCUCUUUAGGGUUAACGCCCAGAAGAGCCGCAGUGAAUAGGCCCAAGCGACUGUUUAUCAAAAACACAGGUCUCUGCUAAACCGUAAGGUGAUGUAUAGGGGCUGACGCCUGCCCGGUGCUGGAAGGUUAAGAGGAGUGGUUAGCUUCUGCGAAGCUACGAAUCGAAGCCCCAGUAAACGGCGGCCGUAACUAUAACGGUCCUAAGGUAGCGAAAUUCCUUGUCGGGUAAGUUCCGACCCGCACGAAAGGCGUAACGAUUUGGGCACUGUCUCAACGAGAGACUCGGUGAAAUCAUAGUACCUGUGAAGAUGCAGGUUACCCGCGACAGGACGGAAAGACCCCGUGGAGCUUUACUGUAGCCUGAUAUUGAAAUUCGGCACAGCUUGUACAGGAUAGGUAGGAGCCUUUGAAACGUGAGCGCUAGCUUACGUGGAGGCGCUGGUGGGAUACUACCCUAGCUGUGUUGGCUUUCUAACCCGCACCACUUAUCGUGGUGGGAGACAGUGUCAGGCGGGCAGUUUGACUGGGGCGGUCGCCUCCUAAAAGGUAACGGAGGCGCUCAAAGGUUCCCUCAGAAUGGUUGGAAAUCAUUCAUAGAGUGUAAAGGCAUAAGGGAGCUUGACUGCGAGACCUACAAGUCGAGCAGGGUCGAAAGACGGACUUAGUGAUCCGGUGGUUCCGCAUGGAAGGGCCAUCGCUCAACGGAUAAAAGCUACCCCGGGGAUAACAGGCUUAUCUCCCCCAAGAGUUCACAUCGACGGGGAGGUUUGGCACCUCGAUGUCGGCUCAUCGCAUCCUGGGGCUGUAGUCGGUCCCAAGGGUUGGGCUGUUCGCCCAUUAAAGCGGUACGCGAGCUGGGUUCAGAACGUCGUGAGACAGUUCGGUCCCUAUCCGUCGUGGGCGUAGGAAAUUUGAGAGGAGCUGUCCUUAGUACGAGAGGACCGGGAUGGACAUACCUCUGGUGUACCAGUUGUCGUGCCAACGGCAUAGCUGGGUAGCUAUGUGUGGACGGGAUAAGUGCUGAAAGCAUCUAAGCAUGAAGCCCCCCUCAAGAUGAGAUUUCCCAACUUCGGUUAUAAGAUCCCUCAAAGAUGAUGAGG